GAUGAACGCUGGCGGCGUGCCUAAUACAUGCAAGUCGAGCGAACAGACGAGGAGCUUGCUCCUCUGACGUUAGCGGCGGACGGGUGAGUAACACGUGGAUAACCUACCUAUAAGACUGGGAUAACUUCGGGAAGCCGGAGCUAAUACCGGAUAAUAUAUUGAACCGCAUGGUUCAAUAGUGAAAGACGGAUUUGCUGUCACUUAUAGAUGGAUCCGCGCCGCAUUAGCUAGUUGGUAAGGUAACGGCUUACCAAGGCGACGAUGCGUAGCCGACCUGAGAGGGUGAUCGGCCACACUGGAACUGAGACACGGUCCAGACUCCUACGGGAGGCAGCAGUAGGGAAUCUUCCGCAAUGGGCGAAAGCCUGACGGAGCAACGCCGCGUGAGUGAUGAAGGUCUUCGGAUCGUAAAACUCUGUUAUUAGGGAAGAACAAAUGUGUAAGUAACUAUGCACGUCUUGACGGUACCUAAUCAGAAAGCCACGGCUAACUACGUG
rnacentral:rRNA from 1 species